rnacentral:rRNA from 1 species
UACGGAGGGAGCUAGCGUUGUUCGGAAUUACUGGGCGUAAAGCGCACGUAGGCGGUUAUUCAAGUCAGAAGUGAAAGCCCGGGGCUCAACCCCGGAACGGCCUUUGAAACUAGAUAGCUAGAAUCUUGGAGAGGUCAGUGGAAUUCCGAGUGUAGAGGUGAAAUUCGUAGAUAUUCGGAAGAACACCAGUGGCGAAGGCGACUGACUGGACAAGUAUUGACGCUGAGGUGCGAAAGCGUGGGGAGCAAACAGG